AGAACGAACGCUGGCGGCAUGCCUAACACAUGCAAGUCGAACGCCUGUAGCAAUACAGGAGUGGCGCACGGGUGAGUAACGCGUGGGAACCUGCCCUGGAGUGGGGGAUAACCGAGGAAAACUUCGGCUAAUACCGCAUACGACCUGAGGGUGAAAGAUUUAUCGCUCUAGGAGGGGCCCGCGUCGGAUUAGCUAGUUGGUGGGGUAACGGCCUACCAAGGCUACGAUCCGUAGCUGGUCUGAGAGGAUGACCAGCCACACUGGGACUGAGACACGGCCCAGACUCCUACGGGAGGCAGCAGUGGGGAAUAUUGGACAAUGGGGGAAACCCUGAUCCAGCAAUGCCGCGUGAGUGAUGAAGGCCUUAGGGUUGUAAAGCUCUUUCGGCGGGGACGAUGAUGACGGUACCCGCAGAAGAAGCCCCGGCUAACUUCGUGCCAGCAGCCGC
rnacentral:rRNA from 1 species